CAACCCCUCAGCCGGGAUGGCCUUGCGCUGUUCCGGCUGGUUUUGGGCCCGGAAUCCCUAACGGGAGCCGGCCUUAAAUUGGCACGCUCUGCGGCACCCUCCGCCUCUGGAACAUAGUAUAAACGCUCAUUGUUCUCUGUGGCCGGUCGGGUCGUCCGCCUGUACAAACCCAUCAUCAAG
rnacentral:misc_RNA from 1 species